rnacentral:snRNA from 1 species
AUCUGGCAGGGGAAAUACCAUGAUCACAAAGGUGGCUUUCCCAAGGUAAGGCUCAUCCAUUCCAAUCUGAGUAUGCUGACCUUGGCAAUUUCCUCAAAUGCAGCAAACUUACUGCAUAAUUUGACUGCCAGUCACCACUGU